UACAGAGGUGCCAAGCGUUGUUCGGAUUUAUUGGGCGUAAAGGGUGCGUAGGCGGUUGUGUAAGUCGGGUGUGAAAUUUCGGAGCCUAACUCCGAAACUGCAUUCGAAACUGCACAGCUCGAGGUCUGGAGAGGGUGAUUGGAAUUCUAGGUGUAGCAGUGAAAUGCGUAGAUAUCUAGAGGAACACCAGAGGCGAAAGCGAAUCACUG
rnacentral:rRNA from 1 species